rnacentral:tRNA from 1 species
GAAGCUAUAGCCCAGUGGUAGAGCAUGUGCUUAACAUGCGCGAGGUCCUGGGUUCAAUCCCCAGUACCUUAG